CCCGCAGCUCCUCGGGGCGGACGCCGCAGCGCGUCCCGCCGGACGAUCGCCACGGAGAGCGCCGCGCCGGUCCGUAGCCCCUGCGGACACGGGAGAUCCCGGGGAAGCGAUCGGCCGCCGCUGGAAGAGAUGCGGCUUCUGAUUUCUGUUUGCUGGAGGAGAAGUUAGGUCCCGUCUGGAGCCUGUGCCCGCGUCGCUGCCUGAGGUGUUCCCCGCGGGUUUAUCGGAAGGCAACCAGGGUGCUGUGGGAAAUCAUCCGUCUGCCCUGGCACCCAUCGGGAUUGGGGCUGGUUGUGCUUUUGCUCUGUCUCCUCCUGGCUCUGCUCUUCCAAGUUUUCUUCUGUACAGAACAGAUGUCCAUGGAAGUCGAGAUCUUCUGGAGGGAGUGCCAGGAGAAAGCCUCCCUUCCCCCCAGCCCCAGCAGGUGCUCCAUCGCAGUCCUCCCAUCCCUCCCGUGACACCACAGCUGGGGCCAGGGCUGCAGGUGGGACCUGGGCUUUGCUCUGCACACAGAUUUGCGGUGCAGAGAGUGAAAGCCGUGCUCUGCUGUUUUCACUAUGAAGAGGUGGUGUUUGAAGUCGAACGUAAUCUUGGCUGGGACACUCUCCUCAGUGCUGAGACGCAGGUCAAGACAGUGGCUCUGCUGGCCGGGCCUCCCGGGAAACCCUGCUUCAAGCCACCAAGUUCCUGAAGAUAAAGAAGCUCAAGAAGCUGCUGGAGGGCAGGCAGACAUGGGUGUUUUUUUGAGUACCUGCCAGGUUGCUCAGAGCUCCAUCCUACCUGACCUGGAAUAGUUCCAGCAAUGAGCCCCCUUUCAGUACUGAAAGGCUGUAAUAAAGUCCCCUUCGAAGCCUUCUCUUCCCCAGGCUGAACAACCCCAACUCUCUCAGUCUCUCUUCCUGGGGGAGCUGCUCCAGCCCUUUACUCAUUUUUGUGGCCUUCUCUGGACCGGCUCCAACAGCUCCCAGUCCAAGUUGAUCGCAUCCUAGACUAAGAGUCUUGUGUUUUUCCCUAAAAAUUUCAGGUAAAUGGAGAACAUGAACGGCAGCCCUGGGGUAAAGCACGGCAGAGCACAGCAGAGGUUUUGUGGUGUAAGCAACCAGUGUGGAAGCGCACAUUUG